rnacentral:lncRNA from 1 species
CUGAAAUCCUUCCACCAGCCAAGAGGAUUCCAAGCCCUAAUUAAGUGAUGCGGCAAGUGGUGGGAUCCAAUGCUGAAGAAAGGACCUUUUCUCUGGGGAGUGGAGAAGUUUGCUUCACAGCUGCAGCCUCAGACCCCAUGGUUCCUGAAAUGAGGAAAGCUGCCUUGUUCAAGGACCUCCCUGCCCUCAACCUUCUGUGGUGAAAUGAGGGACAUGGGGCAGAUGACCUCAGAGAUCCAGGCCAGCAGCUCCCUGCCCCCUACUGUGCCCCACCAGACUCUCUCUGCUAAGUCAGAAUCACAACUGGGAUUUCAAUUACCG